GACGUAUGCUGUCCAUUGCAACUUCGACUUAUGCUGCGUUUCUGUGUCGGAACAGUGGAAGACAUUCAACAAGCACUUUGUCUCAGAGGCUUAGUUACAAUUAAUUGAGUCUGAAAGACCAUAGACUUCGUCAUCUUUUCAUCAUAAAUCUAAUGGCCACUUAAUGAGGUAGACCUGUCCCAUGACUCGGACUGAUUUUAAAAACUCAAAACUCAUACUCUCUUGCAUUUGGCAACCAAAACACAAUCCACUUCCUGGGACCUUCUGACAGCCAGGCCACGUUGAGCAAACACCGAGACCUCUUCAGAGUUGGUCAGCGGCCAGGUCCGCAGUGACUGGCAAGGCGACUGCUUGCCAGGUCUCCUCCGGCAUGAGCUUGGGAUGGAGCUGAAUCCCUUUCAUGCACAAGCAGAAUUUGAAAAGGUGCGGGGCCACGCUAGUACCUCUGCGUUUCCUGCCAGAGCCCACCGGCUUAUUUUGCUCCUUCAGAGUCUGUAAAGCAUCCUUCUGGAUGACGAAUGCCUUCCGAGGCUCCAGCCCACCAAGCCUUCCUCUAAGUUUCAGAUGCAGAGGCCACCUCGGAGAACUGUGAUUGUCUCCCUGCAUCUCCCCAGUGCCCCCGGAUAUUUCUUACUCAAGCUAUAAUGGCCUGCUUCAUCAAAAUAGGUUUCACAAUCUUAUUGUAAUGAACACAGCAUAACACAUGUUGUGCCUAUGAUUUCCUUAUUAUUAAAAUACUUUUUACAACGCUAUUACUUGCUGAAGAGCUUUGGUAGAUAAUCGAUGAUUUGGUAAGCAGGUAUUUGGAUGUCCAGUGCACAUUUCUCAUGUCCAGAUGAGAAAUGAAUGCUCAGGGGAUUGAUUGAUAGAUGUGCUGAGGUGGUUGCAUUAUUGCCUUUGUA
rnacentral:lncRNA from 1 species